rnacentral:rRNA from 1 species
GACGAACGCUGGCGGCGUGCUUGACACAUGCAAGUCGAACGGAAAGGCCCUGCUUUUGUGGGGUGCUCGAGUGGCGAACGGGUGAGUAACACGUGAGUAACCUGCCCUUGACUUUGGGAUAACUUCAGGAAACUGGGGCUAAUACCGGAUAGGAGCUCCUGCUGCAUGGUGGGGGUUGGAAAGUUUCGGCGGUUGGGAUGGACUCGCGGCUUAUCAGCUUGUUGGUGGGGUAGUGGCUUACCAAGGCUUUGACGGGUAGCCGGCCUGAGAGGGUGACCGGCCACAUUGGGACUGAGAUACGGCCCAGACUCCUACGGGAGGCAGCAGUGGGGAAUAUUGCACAAGGGGCGGAAGCCUGAUGCAGCAACGCCGCGUGCGGGAUGACGGCCUUCGGGUUGUAAACCGCUUUCGCCUGUGACGAAGCGUGAGUGACGGUAAUGGGUAAAGAAGCACCGGCUAACUACGUG